rnacentral:misc_RNA from 1 species
AGGAGAAUCAUCUCUUUCUACAGUCUGAAAUAAGCUAAAUUUAAUAAUAUCUUAAUAUUCCUUGUGAAUUCGAAAAUUUUUCAGGAUUUGAAUGCAGCAUAUUGGCAUUACUCAAUGAAAGCUUCAACAUAACUUUUUUCCUUGGUUUACAUUAUCCACAUGGGAGAUUUUAAAUUCUACUAAUACUUUCAUAGUGUUUGGUUCAAUUCAACUACUAGAAUUUAUUUGAAAUGAAUUCCACUACUUGGUUUGACACA